rnacentral:rRNA from 1 species
AGUGAACGCUGACGGUAGGCCUAACACAUGCAAGUCGAACGGCAGCACAGUAAGAGCUUGCUCUUACGGGUGGCGAGUGGCGGACGGGUGAGGAAUACAUCGGAAUCUACUUUUUCGUGGGGGAUAACGUAGGGAAACUUACGCUAAUACCGCAUACGACCUACGGGUGAAAGCAGGGGAUCUUCGGACCUUGCGCGAUUGAAUGAGCCGAUGUCGGAUUAGCUAGUUGGCGGGGUAAAGGCCCACCAAGGCGACGAUCCGUAGCUGGUCUGAGAGGAUGAUCAGCCACACUGGAACUGAGACACGGUCCAGACUCCUACGGGAAGCAGCAGUGGGGAAUAUUGGACAAUGGGCGCAAGCCUGAUCCAGCCAUACCGCGUGGGUGAAGAAGGCCUUCGGGUUGUAAAGCCCUUUUGUUGGGAAAGAAAAGCAGCAGGUUAAUACCCCGCUGUUCUGACGGUACCCAAAGAAUAAGCACCGGCUAACUUCGUG